rnacentral:rRNA from 1 species
AAAUUCCUUGUCGGGUAAGUUCCGACCUGCACGAAUGGUGUAACGACUUGGGCGCUGUCUCAACCAGGGACUCGGUGAAAUUGCAGUGGCGGUGAAGAUGCCGCCUACCCGCGAAAGGACGGAAAGACCCCGUGAACCUUUACUGCAUUUUGGUAUUGUAUUUUGGUGUUGUUUGUGUAGGAUAGGUGGGAGGCUUUGAAGCUUCGGCGCUAGCCGGGGUGGAGCCAACGUUGAAAUACCACCCUAAUGAUAUCGGAAUACUAACUCGUGCCUUUAUGAGGUAUGAGAACAGUGCCAGGAGGGCAGUUUGACUGGGGCGGUCGCCUCCUAAAAUGUAACGGAGGCGUACAAAGGUUCCCUCAGCGUGAUUGGUAACCACGCGUAGAGUAUAAAGGCAUAAGGGAGCUUAACUGCAAGACCGACGGGUCAAGCAGAUGCGAAAGCAGGUCUUAGUGAUCCUAUCCCACCGCAUGGAAGGGGGAUAGCUCAACGGAUAAAAGGUACUCCGGGGAUAACAGGCUGAUAGCGCCCGAGCGUCCAUAGCGACGGCGCUGUUUGGCACCUCGAUGUCGGCUCAUCACAUCCUGGGGCUGAAGAAGGUCCCAAGGGUAUGGCUGUUCGCCAUUUAAAGUGGUACGCGAGCUGGGUUCAGAACGUCGUGAGACAGUUCGGUCCCUAUCCUUCGUGGGCGUUAGAUGUUUGAGGAGAUCCACACUUAGUACGAGAGGACCAAUGUGGACAGACCUCUGGUGUAACGGUUGUGACGCCAGUUGCAUUGCCGUAUAGCUAUGUCUGGAAUGGAUAACUGCUGAAAGCAUAUAAGCGGGAAGCCAACUCCAAGAUGAGACAUCUUUUAAGACUCCUUGAAGACUACAAGGUUGAUAGGUUACAGGUGUAAGUACAGCAAUGUAUUCAGCCGAGUAAUACUAAUUAGUCGUAGCCUUACUUUU